GAUGAACGCUAGCGGCAGGCUUAAUACAUGCAAGUCGUACGGGAUCCGAGGUAGCAAUACUUUGGUGAGAGUGGCGCACGGGUGCGUAACACGUAUGCAACCUACCUAUAACCGGGACACAACCUCGAGAAAUUGAGGCUAAUAUCCCAUAACACUGCGAGAUGGCAUCAUUUUGCAGUUAAAACUCCGGUGGUUAUAGAUGGGCAUGCGCGACAUUAGCUAGUUGGUGAGGUAACGGCCCACCAAGGCUACGAUGUCUAGGGGUUCUGAGAGGAUUAUCCCCCACACUGGUACUGAGACACGGACCAGACUCCUACGGGAGGCAGCAGUAAGGAUAUUGGUCAAUGGGCGCAAGCCUGAACCAGCCAUGCCGCGUGAAGGAUGACGGCCCUAUGGGUUGUAAACUUCUUUGUACCAGAGAAAACCUACUCACGUGUGAGUAGCUGAUAGUAUGGUAAGAAUAAGCAUCGGCUAACUUCGUGCCAGCAGCCG
rnacentral:rRNA from 1 species